GUGGGGAAUCUUGCGCAAUGGGCGAAAGCCUGACGCAGCCAUGCCGCGUGAAUGAUGAAGGUCUUAGGAUUGUAAAAUUCUUUCACCGGGGACGAUAAUGACGGUACCCGGAGAAGAAGCCCCGGCUAACUUCGUGCCAGCAGCCGCGGUAAUACGAAGGGGGCUAGCGUUGCUCGGAAUUACUGGGCGUAAAGGGCGCGUAGGCGGACAGUUUAGUCAGAGGUGAAAGCCCAGGGCUCAACCUUGGAAUUGCCUUUGAUACUGGCUGUCUUGGGUACGGGAGAGGGGAGUGGAACUCCGAGUGUAGAGGUGAAAUUCGUAGAUAUUCGGAAGAACACCAGUGGCGAAGGCGACUCACUGGCCCGUUACUGACGCUGAGGCGCGAAAGCGUGGGGAGCAAACAGGAUUAGAAACCCCGGUAGUCC
rnacentral:rRNA from 1 species